UAGAAAGAUUGCUGGGAAUCCAUCAGGGCCAGUAGCUGAGUUCGGGUUCAUAUCAUCUAUAGCCCUUAUUAGAGCGUCUUCUUUUAUAUCGAUCAUCAUU